CUCUUUGAGCGAUGGAACGAAGUUCUGUUUAUACCGAAGUUUUGUUUUCCAAUACAUUCUCCAAGUAGCAGCCAAUAUAUGAAGCAACCAACACAAGCUUUGCUGUUUCUAUGAAAAUUCCAAUUUCACGAGGAACAAACAAUGUUGAAUAUCAUGUAGUUGCCUAGUUCAUUACACAGAGAAGAUAUUGAUGAAAAUAUCAUAUCUCGGUACAUAUAAAAA